rnacentral:rRNA from 1 species
GAUGAACGCUGGCGGCGUGCCUAAUACAUGCAAGUCGAGCGAACGGACGAGAAGCUUGCUUCUCUGAUGUUAGCGGCGGACGGGUGAGUAACACGUGGAUAACCUACCUAUAAGACUGGGAUAACUUCGGGAAACCGGAGCUAAUACCGGAUGAUAUUUUGAACCGCAUGGUUCAAAAGUGAAAGACGGUCUUGCUGUCACUUAUAGAUGGAUCCGCGCUGCAUUAGCUAGUUGGUAAGGUAACGGCCUACCAAGGCAACGAUGCAUAGCCGACCUGAGAGGGUGAUCGGCCACACUGGAACUGAGACACGGUCCAGACUCCUACGGGAGGCAGCAGUAGGGAAUCUUCCGCAAUGGGCGAAAGCCUGACGGAGUAACGCCGCGUGAGUGAUGAAGGUCUUCGGAUCGUAAAACUCUGUUAUUAGGGAAGAACAUAUGUGUAAGUAACUGUGCACAUCUUGACGGUACCUAAUCAGAAAGCCACGGCUAACUACGUG